rnacentral:rRNA from 1 species
UACGUAGGGUGCAAGCGUUGUCCGGAAUUAUUGGGCGUAAAGGGCGCGUAGGCGGUUCGUACAGUCAGACGUGAAAUUCCUGGGCUCAACCUGGGGGCUGCGUUUGAUACGUGCGGACUUGAGUGCGGAAGAGGGUCGUGGAAUUCCCAGUGUAGAGGUGAAAUUCGUAGAUAUUGGGAAGAACACCGGUGGCGAAGGCGGCGACCUGGUCCGAUACUGACGCUGAGGCGCGAAAGCGUGGGGAGCAAACAGG